rnacentral:rRNA from 1 species
GGGAUAAUCCGGAGAAAUCCGGUCUAAUACCGCAUAAUAUCGUGAAUCUGCAUGGAUUUGCGAUUAAAGGAGCGAUCCGGUGACGGAUGGGCAUGCGUGACAUUAGCUAGUCGGCGGGGUAACGGCCCACCGAGGCGACGAUGUCUAGGGGUUCUGAGAGGAAGGUCCCCCACACUGGUACUGAGACACGGACCAGACUCCUACGGGAGGCAGCAGUGAGGAAUAUUGGUCAAUGGGCUUACGCCUGAACCAGCCAAGUCGCGUGAGGGAAGACUGCCCUAUGGGUUGUAAACCUCUUUUGUCAGGGAGCAACGCCGGCUACGUGUAGCCGGACUGAGAGUACCUGAAGAAAAAGCAUCGGCUAACUCCGUGCCAGCAGCCGCGGUAAUACGGAGGAUGCGAGCGUUAUCCGGAUUUAUUGGGUUUAAAGGGUGCGUAGGCGGAAUGCCAAGUCAGCGGUAAAAUCGCGGGGCUCAACCUCGCUCCGCCGUUGAAACUGGCGUUCUUGAGUGGGCGAGAAGUAUGCGGAAUGCGUGGCGUAGCGGUGAAAUGCAUAGAUAUCACGCAGAACCCCGAUUGCGAAGGCAGCAUACCGGCGCCCAACUGACGCUGAAGCACGAAAGCGUGGGUAUCGAACAGGAUUAGAUACCCUGGUAGUCCACGCAGUAAACGAUGAAUACUAGCUGUUCGGGGCAAAUGAGCCUUGAGUGGCACAG